CCCAAAUUCCCUCAUCUCUCAAAACUCUCUCUAACACCAUUAGGAACCCUAGCUGCCUACCGUCUUCUCCGACCAAACCCACCGGCGUCCAUGGCUUUCCAGGCCAUGGAAAACCUGUACCCUCUUCCAUUCACUCCAAGCCAUGAUUAUUCAAGGUUUUUGAGGGUCGAUCUUCAAUUGACUUUUUCAGGUCCUCUGCCGAUCUGAGUUCUUUUGACAUCUCCGGCUCCGUUCCGGCUUGUUCGAGCUUUGAUAUGGCUUAGACAUGGACCUGACUUGUUCGAAGGCCAGACCUUUCCAG
rnacentral:lncRNA from 1 species